UGCCAGCAGCCGCGGUAAUACAGAGGUGGCAAGCGUUGUUCGGAUUUAUUGGGCGUAAAGAGUUCGUAGGCGGCCCGGAAAGUCGGAUGUGAAAUCCUACAGCUUAACUGUGGAACUGCAUUCGAAACUCUCGGGCUAGUGUAUGAGAGGGGUAAAGGGAAUUCCAGGUGUAAGGGUGAAAUCUGCAGAGAUCUGGAAGAACACCAGUCGCGAAGGCGCUUUACUGGCUCAUUACAGACGCUGAGGGACGAAAGCUAGGGUAGCGAACGGGAUUAGAUA
rnacentral:rRNA from 1 species